GGGCCCGGAAGGAGUUUGCUCCUUCGACGUUAGCGGCGGACGGGUGAGUAACACGUGGGCAACCUACCUUAUAGUUUGGGAUAACUCCGGGAAACCGGGGCUAAUACCGAAUAAUCUGUUUCACCUCAUGGUGAAACACUGAAAGACGGUUUCGGCUGUCGCUAUAGGAUGGGCCCGCGGCGCAUUAGCUAGUUGGUGAGGUAACGGCUCACCAAGGCGACGAUGCGUAGCCGACCUGAGAGGGUGAUCGGCCACACUGGGACUGAGACACGGCCCAGACUCCUACGGGAGGCAGCAGUAGGGAAUCUUCCACAAUGGGCGAAAGCCUGAUGGAGCAACGCCGCGUGAGUGAAGAAGGAUUUCGGUUCGUAAAACUCUGUUGUAAGGGAAGAACAACUACAGUAGUAACUGGCUGUACCUUGACGGUACCUUAUUACAAAGCCACGGGUAACUACGUGCUUUCAGCCGCGGAAAUACCUAAG
rnacentral:rRNA from 1 species